GGGAUUGCCCUAGUAACGGCGAGUGAAGCGGCAACAGCUCAAAUUUGAAAUCUGGCGCAAGCCCGAGUUGUAAUUUGUAGAGGAUGCUUCUAGGUAGCGACCGGUCUAAGUUCCUUGGAACAGGACGUCAUAGAGGGUGAGAAUCCCGUAUGUGACUGGCCCGCACCUUCUACGUAGCUCCUUCGACGAGUCGAGUUGUUUGGGAAUGCAGCUCUAAAUGGGAGGUAAAUUUCUUCUAAAGCUAAAUACCGGCCAGAGACCGAUAGCGCACAAGUAGAGUGAUCGAAAGAUGAAAAGCACUUUGGAAAGAGAGUUAAAAAGCACGUGAAAUUGUUGAAAGGGAAGCGCUCACAACCAGACUUCUGGGCGGUGUUCCGCCGGUCUUCUGACCGGUCUACUCACCGUCCCGAGGCCAACAUCAUCUGGGACCGCCGGAUAAGACCUUAGGAAUGUAGCUCCCCUCGGGGAGUGUUAUAGCCUGUGGUGAUGCGGCGCGUCUCGGGUGAGGUCCGCGCUUCGGCAAGGAUGUUGGCGUAAUGGUUGUCAGCGGCCCGUCUUGAAACACGGACCAAGGAGUCUAACAUCUAUGCGAGUGUUCGGGUGUCAAACCCCUACGCGUAAUGAAAGUGAACGGAGGUGGGAAGGGUAACCUGCACCAUCGACCGAUCCUGAUGUCCUCGGAUGGAUUUGAGUAAGAGCAUAGCUGUUGGGACCCGAAAGAUGGUGAACUAUGCCUGAAUAGGGUGAAGCCAGAGGAAACUCUGGUGGAGGCUCGCAGCGGUUCUGACGUGCAAAUCGAUCGUCAAAUUUGGGUAUAGGGGCGAAAGACUAA
rnacentral:rRNA from 1 species